UAACAAAAUUGUUACCAAACUAGAAGCUGGCAUGACUAAGCCCAAUAAACAAACAAUCUUGCCUAUGUCAAAAAUCAAUGCUCUCUUCGUUAACCUCCCUGUGAGCAAAAUCAAAGGUCUUGGGCUUUGAUGUCUGUGAAAGACUAAAGAAGAAUCAAGAAUCUUGGAAAUUUGUUGAAUUUUUCUGAAGUUGAACUUUAAGAGGAAACUCGUCGGAAAAAAUAGAUUAUGGUUGCACUUUAUGUUCUCGCUUUUACUCGAAAAGCAUUGGUUGCUGUAAAAAAUUCAAAUUUCGGAUGGAUUUAUUCUAUUCUGCGACUUUCUUCUUUUCCAAUUAAAUUAAAUAUUCGUGGGAGCUCAUAGCGAACAGCACCUUGUUUAUUCAACCAAGUAAAUCACAUCGUCCUCUUUCCGGAACAAUGUCGUCUAGUGGAAGAUUUCUAAAAAAUAGGGAAGUUCAAAAUAUUUUCUGUAUCGAAAUGAAAAAACCGAUCCUGGAUUCAUCGACGAAAAAAUUCUACUAAUUAUAUCACAAAACCUGCACCGACUACAUUAAGCAAAUUGUUUUAUUCCUACUCUUAAAAAAAUCUUCAUCCACCAAUUCAUUCAUUAAUUGUAAAACAUUUUAUUCCCAUCGAUUAUUUUGUAGAACUGGAAGAAAAUCAUCAAGAAAUUCAAGAAAUAUCUUCUCAGCUAGAAACUAUUCGGAAGCUAAACCUAAGUUUUAUGGAAAAAUUUAUUAAAGACAAAGCUAAAUCGAGGGCCACCCAUUCGAUGAUUGAUAAUCUUGACAUCAUUAAAAUGCACAUUGUCAGUAUUUCGGAUAUGAAAAAAGAAACUCGAGAAUUAGAAAUGAUUAACAAUCAUCACUUUAAUUGCACUAACAAAACUAUUCUAAAUGAUGCAGAAACAACGUUCUCAGCAACAAAUGGAGCUUAUUCUUUAUGAAAAUACAAAAGAAAAACUCAACCGAGCCUACAAGAGACUUGAGAAUGUUAAAAUGCUUACAAAAACUGUAUCCGAUGCACUUACGAAUGCCGAACUCAUAUGGAUAACUACACAAUUGGAUUUGGAAAAAAAUCGUAACCGAUUUAGUAACUCGGAUGAAUUAAAUAUGCAAUGAAAAUGUACAAAAGCUUGUUUGUAUGAAUAUGAAAAGUUUGGAAGGCUUUUGAAAUAUGCUUUGAAUGCAUUGAUAAAUAAGAAACCUUAUACGUCUGUUUUAGAUUUAAUCAAUGAACUCAAUCGAAUUGAGAACAUCUUGAAGCCUUAUGUGUAUGAAAGUCCUGUUAAAUUGGCCAUGUUCGAACAAAUAAACUUACUCAAACCAAUUUUCAAUGCAAAAAUGAAUAAGAAACAUUUUGAAAUUGAUUUUCGGCAUUUGCGUUCUCAAUUCCAGGAGAAUAUUCAUGAAAAAAUGAGCAAUGAUGCCUUGUUGCACAAUGGUCAGUUGCUUUGGAUUUGGUUUCUAACUGAACCAAAAAAAUUACUAGAUGCCGUUGCUGAGGUUCGAAAAGCAGCUUUUAAAGUACCAGUAAUGAC